GGGUCGAUGCCCGAGCGGUUAAUGGGGACGGACUGUAAAUUCGUUGACAAUAUGUCUACGCUGGUUCAAAUCCAGUUCGGCCCA
rnacentral:tRNA from 4 species